rnacentral:rRNA from 2 species
UGAGGAAUAUUGGUCAAUGGUCGAGAGACUGAACCAGCCAAGUAGCGUGAAGGAUGACUGCCCUAUGGGUUGUAAACUUCUUUUGUUUGGGAAUAAAGUCAGGUACGUGUACCUGUUUGUAUGUACCAUUCGAAUAAGCAUCGGCUAAUUCCGUGCCAGCAGCCGCGGUAAUACGGAAGAUGCGAGCGUUAUCCGGAUUUAUUGGGUUUAAAGGGAGCGUAGGCGGGCUGUUAAGUCAGCGGUAAAAUUUCCAGGCCCAACCUGGUCGUGCCGUUGAAACUGGCGGUCUUGAAUGCACACAAGGGAGAUGGAAUUCGUCGUGUAGCGGUGAAAUGCUUAGAUAUGACGAAGAACUCCGAUUGCGAAGGCAGUCUCCUGGGGUGCUAUUGACGCUGAGGCUCGAAAGUGCGGGUAUCAAACAGG